UAUAACUUUUAUUCUAACACGUAUAACCGGUAGUAUAUUAGAUAAUGUAGUGUUACUUUUCACAGAUGUCUUUUUGUUUUUCCAUGAGUUAGCAGAGUGGCCAAACGGUUAGCUACUGUGAUUCCAAAAUUCUAUGGUUUGCAUCUCGUUGCUACAAAAUCACGUUUUUUGGUGCAUUAUAAACCUGAUGGUUAUAUGCUCGUAUUCUAUUAGUGUAGCCGAACAGUUGAUGGAACUGAAAUAAAAAUCUUGAGAAAGAAAAAAGAAUAAAUAGGCAGGAUCUAUAUCUGG